rnacentral:rRNA from 1 species
AUGAACGCUAGCUACAGGCUUAACACAUGCAAGUCGAGGGGCAGCAUGAACUUAGCUUGCUAAGUUUGAUGGCGACCGGCGCACGGGUGAGUAACACGUAUCCAACCUGCCGAUGACUCGGGGAUAGCCUUUCGAAAGAAAGAUUAAUACUCGAUGGCAUAGUUCUUCCGCAUGGUAGAGCUAUUAAAGAAUUUCGGUCAUCGAUGGGGAUGCGUUCCAUUAGGUUGUUGGCGGGGUAACGGCCCACCAAGCCUUCGAUGGAUAGGGGUUCUGAGAGGAAGGUCCCCCACAUUGGAACUGAGACACGGUCCAAACUCCUACGGGAGGCAGCAGUGAGGAAUAUUGGUCAAUGGACGAGAGUCUGAACCAGCCAAGUAGCGUGAAGGAUGACUGCCCUAUGGGUUGUAAACUUCUUUUAUACGGGAAUAAAGUGAGGCACGUGUGCCUUUUUGUAUGUACCGUAUGAAUAAGGAUCGGCUAACUCCGUGCCAGCAGCCGCGGUAAUACGGAGGAUCCGAGCGUUAUCCGGAUUUAUUGGGUUUAAAGGGAGCGUAGGCGGACGCUUAAGUCAGUUGUGAAAGUUUGCGGCUCAACCGUAAAAUUGCAGUUGAUACUGGGUGUCUUGAGUACAGUAGAGGCAGGCGGAAUUCGUGGUGUAGCGGUGAAAUGCUUAGAUAUCACGAAGAACUCCGAUUGCGAAGGCAGCCUGCUGGACUGUAACUGACGCUGAUGCUCGAAAGUGUGGGUAUCAAACAGGAUUAGAUACCCUGGUAGUCCACGCCGUAAACGAUGAAUACUAGGUGUCGGGUGGCAGAGCCAUUCGGUGCCGCAGCAAACGCAGUAAGUAUUCCACCUGGGGAGUACGUUCGCAAGAAUGAAACUCAAAGGAAUUGACGGGGGCCCGCACAAGCGGAGGAACAUGUGGUUUAAUUCGAUGAUACGCGAGGAACCUUACCCGGGCUUGAAUUGCAACUGAAUGAUGUGGAGACAUGUCAGCCGCAAGGCAGUUGUGAAGGUGCUGCAUGGUUGUCGUCAGCUCGUGCCGUGAGGUGUCGGCUUAAGUGCCAUAACGAGCGCAACCCUUAUCGAUAGUUACCAUCAGGUGAUGCUGGGGACUCUGUCGAGACUGCCGUCGUAAGAUGUGAGGAAGGUGGGGAUGACGUCAAAUCAGCACGGCCCUUACGUCCGGGGCUACACACGUGUUACAAUGGGGGGUACAGAAGGCAGCUACACGGCGACGUGAUGCUAAUCCCGAAAGCCUCUCUCAGUUCGGAUUGGAGUCUGCAACCCGACUCCAUGAAGCUGGAUUCGCUAGUAAUCGCGCAUCAGCCACGGCGCGGUGAAUACGUUCCCGGGCCUUGUACACACCGCCCGUCACACCAUGAGAGUCGGUAACACCCGAAGCCGGUGGCCUAACCGCAAGGAAGGAGCUGUCUAAGGUGGGACUGAUGAUUGGGGUG